GGGCUGGCAUUCCCAGAGAUUAUUGCAACUGGCUGGGGUGGGUUCUGGCCGCUGGUGUUGUCUAAGAGCUUUGUUCUCUGGUGCUACAACAAGCCACUGAGUUGUUCUUUGUUCAGAGUGCUCCUAGAUGUCAAAGUUCUGCCAGUUCCCCAACACAGCUUCAAGGCACAGAAACACUCUCCACUGCGGCCAAGGAUUGCAGGAGAGGUGGCAUCAGUGAUUCAAGACUUCUUUUCCUACCUCUUCAGUGUUUCUUUCAGUGAUCUGAAGUUAAAGCCAGGGGGAAUAUCACAGAAGUGAAGUGCAAUUCUCAUCAUGUCAUAUCAAGAGCACACACUAACAAACAACAUGACUUAUUGCUGAAUAUUGAACUUGAUCACCUGGCUGAGGUAGUGUUUGCCAGAUUUCUCUGUAAAGGUGAAUAAACUGACACUGGAACAUUCAGGAACUUCUUCAUGGUCAUGGUCACCCAGCUAGAGUGUGGAAGCCAGGCUGUCUGAUUCCAGGAUCUGUGUUCUUAAUCCUAUACAUAAGGAAGCCAUAAUGAGUCAACCACUAUUUUUAAGAUUCACAGAUGUUCGGGUCCAAUUCACCAGAAUGCCAAGUUAUACAGGGUUGUGGAAUCAAAAACUGCAAUUAGUAAUAAAAUGUGAUGCUAUCUAGAA
rnacentral:lncRNA from 1 species